rnacentral:rRNA from 1 species
CAGUCGCCACGGGAAUACAGAGGGUGCGAGCGUUAAUCGGAUUUACUGGGCGUAAAGCGUGCGUAGGCGGCUUCUUAAGUCGGAUGUGAAAUCCCUGAGCUUAACUUAGGAAUUGCAUUUGAUACUGGGAAGCUAGAGUAUGGGAGAGGAUGGUAGAAUUCCAGGUGUAGCGGUGAAAUGCGUAGAGAUCUGGAGGAAUACCGAUGGCGAAGGCAGCCAUCUGGCCUAAUACUGACGCUGAGGUACGAAAGCAUGGGGAGCAAACAGGAUUAGAUACCCGGGUAGUCCCUGUCUCUUAUAC